rnacentral:rRNA from 1 species
UACGUAGGGGGCAAGCGUUGUCCGGAAUUAUUGGGCGUAAAGCGCGUGUAGGCGGUCCGGUAAGUCCGCUGUGAAAGUCGGGGGCUUAACCCUCGGAUGCCGGUGGAUACUGUCGGGCUUGAGUACGGAAGAGGCGAGUGGAAUUCCUGGUGUAGCGGUGAAAUGCGCAGAUAUCAGGAGGAACACCAAUUGCGAAGGCAGCUCGCUGGGACGUUACUGACGCUGAGACGCGAAAGCGUGGGGAGCAAACAGG